UUGCACGCUGGCGGCAUGCUUUACACAUGCAAGUCGGACGGCAGCACAGAGAAGCUUGCUUCUUGGGUGGCGAGUGGCGAACGGGUGAGUAAUAUAUCGGAACGUACCGAGUAAUGGGGGAUAACUAAUCGAAAGAUUAGCUAAUACCGCAUAUUCUCUGAGGAGGAAAGCAGGGGACCUUCGGGCCUUGCGUUAUUCGAGCGGCCGAUAUCUGAUUAGCUAGUUGGUGGGGUAAAGGCCUACCAAGGCGACGAUCAGUAGCGGGUCUGAGAGGAUGAUCCGCCACACUGGGACUGAGACACGGCCCAGACUCCUACGGGAGGCAGCAGUGGGGAAUUUUGGACAAUGGGCGCAAGCCUGAUCCAGCCAUGCCGCGUGUCUGAAGAAGGCCUUCGGGUUGUAAAGGACUUUUGUCAGGGAAGAAAAGGCUGUUGCUAAUAUCGACAGCUGAUGACGGUACCUGAAGAAUAAGCACCGGCUAACUACGU
rnacentral:rRNA from 1 species